rnacentral:lncRNA from 1 species
CCGAAAUCUGGUCUAGCUUCACACCCGGAUUCCAUACGUCACACCCCGAAAUCUGAAGGUUGAUGCAUGUCUAUAUUGUUACUUUAAUCAGUAAUACCUGUCCAGUUUAGUAUACAUAUGUGAAUAAGUAUGAUAAUGGAAGAAUACUAUAACUACACCCUUAAGUCAAAAUAUGAUGGCAAACUAUUUUCUUUAAAUGACAUAACAUCUUAGAAACCGAUUUUAGUGUUAUGUGAUGAA